GAUGAACGCUGGCGGCGUGCCUAAUACAUGCAAGUCGAGCGAACGGACGAGAAGCUUGCUUCUCUGAUGUUAGCGGCGGACGGGUGAGUAACACGUGGAUAACCUACCUAUAAGACUGGGAUAACUUCGGGAAACCGGAGCUAAUACCGGAUAAUAUUUUGAACCGCAUGGUUCAAAAGUGAAAGACGGUCUUGCUGUCACUUAUAGAUGGAUCUGCGCUGCAUUAGCUAGUUGGUAAGGUAACGGCUUACCAAGACAACGAUGCGUAGCCGACCUGAGAGGGUGAUCGGCCACACUGGAACUGAGACACGGUCCAGACUCCUACGGGAGGCAGCAGUAGGGAAUCUUCCGCAAUGGGCGAAAGCCUGACGGAGCAACGCCGCGUGAGUGAUGAAGGUCUUCGGAUCGUAAAACUCUGUUAUUAGGGAAGAACAUAUGUGUAAGUAACUGUGCACAUCUUGACGGUACCUAAUCAGAAAGCCACGGCUAACUACGUG
rnacentral:rRNA from 1 species